rnacentral:piRNA from 1 species
UGGAAACACUACCACCACCACCACCA